GACGAACGCUGGCGGCGUGCUUAACACAUGCAAGUCGAACGGAAAGGCCCUGCUUUUGUGGGGUGCUCGAGUGGCGAACGGGUGAGUAACACGUUAGUAACCUGCCCUUGACUUUGGGAUAACUUCAGGAAACUGGGGCUAAUACCGGAUAGGAGCUCCUGCUGCAUGGUGGGGGUUGGAAAGUUUCGGCGGUUGGGGAUGGACUCGCGGCUUAUCAGCUUGUUGGUGGGGUAGUGGCUUACCAAGGCUUUGACGGGUAGCCGGCCUGUGAGGGUGACCGGCCACAUUGGGACUGAGAUACGGCCCAGACUCCUACGGGAGGCAGCAGUGGGGAAUAUUGCACAAUGGGCGGAAGCCUGAUGCAGCAACGCCGCGUGCGGGAUGACGGCCUUCGGGUUGUAAACCGCUUUCGCCUGUGACGAAGCGUGAGUGACGGUAAUGGGUAAAGAAGCACCGGCUAACUACGUG
rnacentral:rRNA from 1 species